GAUGAACGCUGGCGGCGUGCCUAAUACAUGCAAGUCGAGCGAACAGACGAGGAGCUUGCUCCUCUGACGUUAGCGGCGGACGGGUGAGUAACACGUGGAUAACCUACCUCUAAGACUGGGAUAACUUCGGGAAACCGGAGCUAAUACCGGAUAAUAUAUUGAACCGCAUGGUUCAAUAGUGAAAGACGGUUUUGCUGUCACUUAUAGAUGGAUCCGCGCCGCAUUAGCUAGUUGGUAAGGUAACGGCAUACCAAGGCAACGAUGCGUAGCCGACCUGAGAGGGUGAUCAGCCACACUGGAACUGAGACACGGUCCAGACUCCUACGGGAGGCAGCAGUAGGGAAUCUUCCGCAAUGGGCGAAAGCCUGACGGAGCAACGCCGCGUGAGUGAUGAAGGUCUUCGGAUCGUAAAACUCUGUUAUUAGGGAAGAACAAAUGUGUAAGUAACUAUGCACGUCUUGACGGUACCUAAUCAGAAAGCCACGGCUAACUACGUG
rnacentral:rRNA from 1 species